rnacentral:tRNA from 1 species
UUGUUUUGGCAGAAUAGUGCGUUAGAUUUAGGAUCUUUUUAUGUAUUUUAUACAAAUAAUAU